CCCUGUGCACACGGUAUGUUAGAAGUAUCAUGAAACCAGUGAUUUCCCGAAAUGACUGAAAUUUUCAGUCAUUUUUCAAAUGACUCCUUCAGUCACUCAUUUGGUAAAAUGACUAAAAGUUUCGUGUGCUCUACAAAGUGACUGACGUGCUGCAAAUUCCGCCAGACUGUUUGGCUGCUUCACCCAGUAUCAGGCAUAUUGGGAAAAGGGAUGUUAUUGGAUAAAGAUCCUUUGCUUUUUUCUGCACUGGCUGCUGGGCAUGACUCUGGAUUUUGAAGGUGUGAAAUUCUAUGGCUGGUGGCAAGAAGCAGCUAAUCAAAACCACUGGACUAAAGAAGCAUUUCCUACAUACUGUGUGAACGUUGAAGAGAGGAUCCUGAUUGUGAAAACCCCAGAUGUAUGAAUGAGGGCAGUCACCUUGAGAAGUGUUCCUGAAGUCUGGCGAGGACAGGCUGCACAAUCUGUGCUGUACCACAGCGGCUGAAGAUUUUGGCUGCCAUCCUCUGAAGGGAAAUGAAGGCACAGAGAUGCUAAAGGACACAUCCCAGUUUUAUAAUUCUCUACAUGUUGGAAGUAGGACAGAAGACAAAUGCUGUGAAAUGCUCAGCAUCACUUUUCUUGUAAAAGAAAAUGAAAUUCAGGAAGGUGGAUCAGGAAAACCGCAUUCUCCUGCCACAGUUUGUUCCUGUAUACAUCUCAUGAUAAGUUGCAAGCCAAUUUGACCUUACAACAUGGUGAGUAUGGCCCAGCAUCCCAUGGGAUCAAGGAGUUAUAGGCUUGUUUCCACACUGCUGUUUCUUCUACUUGUGUGUGUCUCCAGAUUCCUGCUCAUGGUUCUUUUACCAAAAUUAGAGUAGAUUUGAAUCCAACAGAAUAUUAUGAAGUUUGGUGCACUUUCCAUAUUGUUUUACUUUAAGUGGUUCUUGCCGUCAUAAUGGGCGCAGACCAUUUAACAUUGUGCUUUGUCAUGCAGGAACCUAACCUAAGAGUCUGCAUUGAGAGCAAGAUAUUUUUUUCCAAGCCUGCCUUAAAACAAGGCAUUCCUGCCUGCCCCAAACUGGCCAUGAAGGAUGAUUGCCCAUGGCUGCUUGUUGCACAGACCAAUGUGCUGUUUUGGAGGGUCUUCACUUUUCUCCUGCUGGAUUCUCCUCCCUGUGUUGUACUGUGACCUCUGACAGUCAGCAGGACUAGGGCUCAGGCAGCCUGUGAGAAACUACUCAGGAAGGGUAGAGUUUCCCAAGCAGCUGUCUUUAUACCUUUCCUUCCUUUGGGGAAAAAAUCAGUCAUCUUUCUCCAACCUAAGAGGAAAAAGUUGAAUGUGAGUUUCUACACUAGAAUGUAGUAUUCAGGCUGUCUGAGCAGGUGAUCUAGAAAAUUAACUCACUAAUUUCCUAAAUGUUCCCCAAACAGUAGUUACUUUCUCUCUCCCUCUCUCUCCUUCUCUCACUAACAGUCAUGUUUUCAACAGCUUAAUAAUUCAGCCCCAUUUCUGAAACUUAUGGUAUCUUAGAAAAAACCCUACACUAUUAGUAUGCACUUCUGUUUCAACAAUUGCUAAUGCUUUACCUCCUGCUUCUGUCAUGAACUGAAUUUUCUUUGGAUGCUGAAGAUGUUCCUCAAUUUCAUUUUUUAAUUUAUCCCUAUCAUUUUCAUUGGCAAGACUCCAGGGAAUAGCAUGACCCCUCUAGAAGAAAUGGUGUUGACUGUCUCUGAAGUUUUCUUGGCAUUAUGGUCCAAAUCCCACAUUGGCUCUGGAUCAGCUAUUCAAGGUCAGGAACAAAGAGUACACAAGAAAAUGAUGGAUGUUAAACAUUUUCCUUGGCUUUGCAUGCAGAGGGAUUUUGCUUUCCGAAAACUAAGUGUUGAGUCACUUUAACCUGGUGGGAUUCCGAUAUGCCCAGAAAAUUUUCCCUGAAUUUGUUGUGCAAAAAGCUUUUUUUCAGGAGGAAUUAGUAAUCUGAAUCUUUCAUUUUAAGGUAUUUUACUUGCCUAAUCUUAAUUACCCAUAGCAGAGUUACAGGAUGUAGAAGGAAACCUUUGAUAGCUUUCCUGGGAGAGCCUCAAGAAGAGAGAGCUGAGCUGUGCCCUACAGCCAUUGCCUGCUCCUGUAUGCUCCCAGAUCAAUAACUAAAAAGGUGCAAAGCCAGUUGGCCACCAGGGCAGCAGCAUCUCUCCCCACUAAUGAGGGUGACCUUUCCACCCACUGCUUCACAUGACUGAAAUCAGGGGAAAUCAGUUUACUCAGGCCAGAACUUAUAUAACUGGUGAUGCUCAGGCUGAAAUUCCUGCUCAUGGUGUGAUGAAUGCAUUGUGGAUCUAUUUGAAAAAUUGAAGAAAUCAGACUGAAGAUAAAAGGGCUGCAACUGAACCAGCUAGAUCCUCUGUAGUUUCUGACAGAUAGGUGAAGAAUAAUGAUGUCUCCAAAGCGUCUGUCCUUCCGUUUGGAGAAUUACACAUUUAACUGUAAAAAAUCGCUGCUGCUGAACCAAAGGUCCUGCUGCUUACACCAUUUACAAAGGCCCUUAAAAUCAUGGACGAGAACACAGUUCUGUGAAGAAAGGGAGACCGCUGUGUGGGUUGAAGGGUAACAUUUAAAAGCUUUGCUCAUCCCAAAGCAGCCACGUCACUUCUCAUUGGCUGCUAUACUCAAGCUUAAAAAGGGACCUUGAGAUAUUAAUUAUGUAUCCAGCUAGCUAUUUAAUAAAUCCAUUCAGUAGUAAACUCUUAUAUAGUAGCUAAUAUAUGUAUGGAAUGCUGUAAAUAUUUUAAAUAAAAAUAAAGGGAAAUUUUAUGCCAUUUUUACAUUACCUUAUGCAACAAAAAUAUAUCAUCAAAAAAAAAUCAGUUUAAAGUGUUAUAUUGAGUUACAAACUGAAAUGCACGCUUUUUCUUACAUAGGACUACUGUUUUAACUUGAAAUAUAAAUGAGCAUAUUAUUUAUUAU